UCAGAACGAACGCUGGCGGCAAGCUUAACACAUGCAAGUCGAACGGAUUGUUAUCAUAGCUUGCUAUGAUAACAAUUAGUGGCAGACGGGUGAGUAAUGCAUAGGAAUCUACCUAGUAGUAUGGGAUAGCCACUAGAAAUGGUGGGUAAUACUGUAUAAUCCCUGCGGGGGAAAGAUUUAUCGCUAUUAGAUGAGCCUAUGUUAGAUUAGCUAGUUGGUAGGGUAAAGGCCUACCAAGGCAGUGAUCUAUAGCUGGUCUGAGAGGAUGAUCAGCCACACUGGAACUGAGAUACGGUCCAGRCUCCUACGGGAGGCA
rnacentral:rRNA from 1 species